AAUCAUCAAAAAUCUUUUUCUUUGAAAAGGAUUUUUGGACUUGGAGGUUUCAUGCUUGCUUUUGCCUUUGAAAGCGAGCUCCUCUGAAAUAAAUUAGUGGGGUCCGCUUUGCUGAUCCUUAAUGUGAUAAGAUGUUUCUACAUUUUGGAUUUAGCACUGUCCCUUGGACGCCUGCUCCUAACUAGUUGUCCCUUGGACAAUGAUGGUGCUCCUGGUCACCGCCAUCCACAUUGGCGGGAGGCUGGACCCACAAAAGAAAAA
rnacentral:misc_RNA from 1 species